rnacentral:rRNA from 1 species
CCCUUAGAUGUUCUGGGCUGCACGCGUGCUACAAUGGCGCUUGCAACAAGAUUGCCAACCCGAAAGGGUGAGCGGAUCUUUGAAGUGGCGUCGUGAUCGGGACAGUUGAUUGCAAUUAUUCGACUCGAACGAGGAAUUCCUUGUAAUCGCGAUUCAUCAUAUCGCGCUGAAUACGUCCCUGCCCUUUGUACACACCGCCCGUCGCUCCUACCGAUUGAGCGAUCCGGUGAAUGUUUUGGACUGGUGUCCGCAAGCGUUCCGCUUCGGACGCUACGAAAUUUUGUAAACCUUAUCGCUUAGAGGAAGGAAAAGUCGUAACA